UAGGGAAUCUUCGGCAAUGGACGAAAGUCUGACCGAGCAACGCCGCGUGAGUGAAGAAGGUUUUCGGAUCGUAAAACUCUGUUGUUAGAGAAGAACAAGGACGUUAGUAACUGAACGUCCCCUGGCGGUACCUAACCAGAAAGCCACGGCUAACUACGUGCCAGCAGCCGCGGUAAUACGUAGGUGGCAAGCGUUGUCCGGAUUUAUUGGGCGUAAAGCGAGCGCAGGCGGUUUCUUAAGUCUGAUGUGAAAGCCCCCGGCUCAACCGGGGAGGGUCAUUGGAAACUGGGAGACUUGAGUGCAGAAGAGGAGAGUGGAAUUCCAUGUGUAGCGGUGAAAUGCGUAGAUAUAUGGAGGAACACCAGUGGCGAAGGCGGCUCUCUGGUCUGUAACUGACGCUGAGGCUCGAAAGCGUGGGGAGCAAACAGG
rnacentral:rRNA from 1 species